rnacentral:rRNA from 1 species
UACGUAGGGGGCGAGCGUUGUCCGGAUUUAUUGGGCGUAAAGCGCGCGCAGGCGGUUCGUUAAGUCCGUUGUGAAAGCUCCUGGCUCAACUGGGAGAGGUCUUCGGAUACUGGCGGACUCGAGGGAGGCAGAGGAAGGUGGAAUUCCGGGUGUAGUGGUGAAAUGCGUAGAGAUCCGGAGGAACACCAGUGGCGAAGGCGGCCUUCUGGGCCUUUCCUGACGCUGAGGCGCGAAAGCGUGGGGAGCGAACCGGAUUAGAAACCCCCGUAGUCC